rnacentral:rRNA from 1 species
AACGAACGCUGGCGGCAUGCCUAACACAUGCAAGUCGAACGAGACCUUCGGGUCUAUUGGCGCACGGGUGCGUAACGCGUGGGAACCUGCCCUUAGGUUCGGAAUAACUCCCCGAAAGGGGUGCUAAUACCGGAUAAUGUCUUCGGACCAAAGAUUUAUCGCCUUUGGAUGGGCCCGCGUUGGAUUAGCUAGUUGGUAGGGUAAAAGCCUACCAAGGCGACGAUCCAUAGCUGGUCUGAGAGGAUGAUCAGCCACACUGGGACUGAGACACGGCCCAGACUCCUACGGGAGGCAGCAGUGGCGAAUAUUGGACAAUGGGCGAAAGCCUGAUCCAGCAAGGCCGCGUGAGUGAUGAAGGCCUUAGGGUUGUAAAGCUCUUUUAACCGGGAUGAUAAUGACAGUACCGGGAGAAUAGGCGCCGGCUAACUCCGUG